GGACCCUUAGCUCAGUUGGCUAGAGCGCGUCAUUGACGUUGACGAGGUCAGAGGUUCGAGUCCUCCAGGGUCCACCA
rnacentral:tRNA from 1 species